rfam:Pongo abelii chromosome 18.
UAAAUGGAUUUUUUUAAAUCCAUAGAACUCAUUAUCAUAACAUUUGG